rnacentral:tRNA from 1 species
GCGGCCGUAGUCUAGUAAACUUUCUUGGGGUGCCAAGCCAACGACCCGGGUUCAAAUCCCGGCGGCCGCA